AUAUGAAAUGUAUUUUAACGCUUGUAUUAUGAAGUACAUUUCGGGUGUUGCUAUGAUAUCCUGAACAAGUGGUUGAAUCAGAGAGGAACAAAGCAGUUGAACAAAUUUUUAAAGGGAUCAGCCGUCAUCUACGCCAUUUUAUUCGCUAUCAAACGAACUGGUGUUAACAUUCGACGCAUACGGAACUAGUUUAUUAAUUUUAUUAUUUAUUAUUCCAGAAAAACUGUCGGCAUUAAGAUAAGGGUACCUGAACUGUGCAUGAUAACUUUUUGGGCCGGCCAAGCACGCACACUUACACACUUUUCUGUAUGGAUGGAAGCAUUUAUGCGGUUGUGUGCGUGUUGGUAUCCUUUUGGAUGGAAAUUUGACAAGAUUUGAAAAAUUUAGUAUUUCUGAAUUGUAAGCUCUCUGUGUGAAUGAGCUGAUCAAGGGUUUGCGGUGAGACAGAGAUAUUUUCAUCGAUGGGUGCGUAAAUUUGGGCCACUGAAAAACAGUUGAAUCGCUCUUGUUGCUUGUUUGCACUUUGAUUUGGAUCCAGACGCAUGCUAGACAUUCUGAUUGUUAAUUGCCUGUCAUAAAACCCUUUAAACUAAGAUUAUUACAAAGCCUAUAAAUUCAUAAAUAAAGCACUUGCAUUUUUUACGUCA